rnacentral:rRNA from 1 species
CCCUUAGAUGUUCUGGGCCGCACGCGUGCCACACUGAGUGGAUCAGCGGGUCAGGUUGCGCGAAAGCGUUUCCUAAUCUUUAAAUCCGCUCGUGAUGGGGAUUGACGGUUGCAAUUUUCUGUCAUGAACGAGGAAUACCUUGUAAGCGCGGGUCAUCAUCCCGCGCUGAAUACGUCCCUGCCCUUUGUACACACCGCCCGUCGCUCCUACCGAUUGAGUGGUCCGGUGAGGCUUUGGGAUCUGAGCGGAAAGAGCGUUUCGCUGUUUCUGCUCGGAAAACUCAGUCGAACCUUAUCAUUUAGAGGAAGGAGAAGUCGUAACA